GAUGGGUGAUGCAAUCCAUGAAUAAUUAACUCCCUGCGGGGGGCCAACUGCUGCGUUUGGAGUAUUGACUUUCUCUUUAAAAUUUCAGCCGUCGUAUUUUUUUUUCCCCCCCAAGGUUACUGACUCUCCGAUUCUCCUCCUCUUCAGUCCUCAAUAUUUCUGUCGUCGUUUUCACAGGUGGAAUAUCUUCUAACAUCUUCAAGGAGUGCACGUGUGAGACAAAUUGCAGAGGAUGAGAUUGAAGCCCAAGAAGGUGCAGUCACUUGUCCAAGCUCCCACAGCGCAUGCAAAGCAGAAUGAGAAACGGAAACAAGAUCUGUGAAAUUGAGCCCACUGAGGAUUGCGUUGUUACUCCCAUUUUUACGAACGAGGUGACUGAGGCCCGGAAAAGAUUUUUUGUCAAGGAGGACUAAGAAAAUAUCUGGACCUUGUUCUCAGAGGGAGAAGCAAGAAUAUGAGCCUGCCUGGCACUGAGUGGGUAGGAAGACUUGCUGGCCAACUCCAUAGUGAGAUGAUUGGGUUCAACUGCUGGGAGUUCUCUGGAUUCUGAAUAUGAAGUUCUGGGGCGGAUUGCAUUUUCCAAAGAUGGCCACAGCAAUAUCUCCUGUCCCACGUGCUCUUCUUACAAUAUAACCUUGAUAUUCAUGAUUUUAAUUGUGGGAGUCUAGUUUCUUCCCCUUGAAUCAGGAUGGGCUUGUGACUAUACUAGUAGUGACUCUAUUUGACCUCAGAGACCAGGUCAUAAAAGGUACAUAGCUUCCAUUUGGUUCUGUUAGGGUGGUAACUCUUGGACCCAGCUGCCAUGCUGUGAGGAAGCACAGGCAGCCACGUGGAGCGGCUUCCUACAGGUCUUCUAAUUGACAGCCUCAGAGGCAGUUCUCACCAACAGUCAGCAUCAACCCCAGACGUGUGAGUAAAGGAGUCUUCAGAUGAUCCCCGCUCCCACCUGUCAAGUCACUCCAGCCUAGAAUCUUCCAGCUGGGUCCCUAGACAUUGUAGUACAGAGAGC